rnacentral:lncRNA from 1 species
GUGGAUGGCAGAAGAUAGGAGCUUUUGUCAAUCUUGGAUCAUAUUAUUUUGUGGGAGUCCCGUUAGGCUUGUUACUUGGUUUUCACUUUCACCUCGGUGGUCGGGUAAAUUCCAUAAACGAAUUAAAAUUCUCUCUUCUUUUUGAUCAAACAAUUUCAAGGGUUAACCAUAUAUCAUAAAAAUGUAAAUAUAAAAAGGGGCUUUGGCUGGGAAUCAUAUGUGCACUCGUCAUCCAAGGUGUAUCUCUUUCCGUCAUCACCUUUUUCACAAAUUGGGAAGAAGAGGUAUAAAAAGCUGUAUUAUUAUUAUUUUCAUUCUAUGCCUUUGGAAUGUGACUUGUGACAGUUAUUGCUCACGUUUUUAGUGAUUCUUGGUUUAUGUAACCCAUAGGUCAAGAAAGCUACAAGCAGAGCUGAAGGUGCCAAGGAUCAUGCAGCCGAGAAUGAGUCAAUUAUUGUAUUCUGAGAGCUAAAUGGAAUAUGCUAUAUGUAACUGAGAAAAAGUUGGGACCAUUAUAUCAUAUUUUGUAACAAAAUAUUAUUUCCUUAAAUAGAACAUACGGAAUUACCUAAUUUGAUCAACAUAUAUAUGAUAAUUAAUGAUUUUAAAUAAUAAAGAUUUGAUAAUAAUUUAUACUUCCUCUAUCAUUUUUGUUUUAUAUUAAUAUCAUAAGAAUAAAUUAGACAAUAAAAUUAACUAAAUAAUAAAAAUUUCGAUUUUUCAAUAUAUGGUAUAUUUUAAAUUUUUGAAAAAGAAUACAAAUUAGUAAUCUUUUAAAAAAAGUGAUCAGUGAUUUAAUUUUUAUAUAUACCAAGAUACACAUGUUCAUAAAAUUAUAUGAGUAAGAUGUCUUAUUUAAUAAAUAUUAGAUUAAAUAUAUAUAUACAUAUAUACAAAUAUCGUUUAAAUUAAAUUAUAUAUUAUAUAAAUGCAAAAAUAUUUAAAUUUCAAACUUUUUAUUGAACAAAUACUAAGAAUUUAAUAUUUUAGUUUCAAAAUUUUCAUUGAAUUUGUAAAAAUGAUUAUAAAUUAAUAAAAAUAAUAAAAGUUUCAUAUUGAAAAUUUUGUUAUCAAUAUUUCAAUUUUUUUUGUUAUCAAAAAUAAAAAUGAUCAUAAAACCAUGUUAAUAGGAAAUUUUUAUUUAAUAAAUAUUCAUAUUAAAAAAAAAUAUACUAUACAUUGAUGUUCAUAUCAUUUAAAUUUAAUGAUAAACAAUAUAAAAUAUAAAAAUAAUUAUUUAAAUUUAUUUACCAUAAAAUGAUCGUAAAUAACAAUAAUUAUUUUGAUCUAUAUGUCCGCACCUAUUUAUUUAUAUAUGUAAAAGUCACUGUUCUCUCACGAAUUUAAUAUAAAUUAAAAAAACACAAAUAAAUAAUAUUACAUAAAAUUUUAUGUAUAUACAAUAUUCAUUCCGCGCAAAGUGCGAAUCUUAAUCUAGUUAAUUAUUAAAUAUCAAUUGACGUCAAGAAAAUAUUAAAUAUUAAAUAUCAAUUAUUUUUUAAAAAAAUUGUUUUACUAUAAAUAGCGUUAAAAAAUGUUAGGCGAGAGUGGACAAUGAUUCAACACCUAGUGUCUAUGAUUAAUAAAGCGUUUAUAUAUAUUUAGACGGUUUAUACUUUGAUAAAUAAUAACAAAAUAUUAAAAAUAUAUAAUAUUUUAUAUUAGGUAUCAUUAUUUACAAAUAAUAAAUUCACAUCAUUUGACUUUUAUAAGAUCAUACAAUAAUAUAUUAACUACUGUGAUUUAUGAAUAAUAAAUAAUAUUAUAAUUGUCUAGAUGGUUUAGAAGAUAAUCACCACGGUACUAUAUGGUCUAGUGUCUAGGUGCCGCUUAAGUAGACGCUUAAAGUAUUUUUUUAGAACACUGCCAUUCUACAUUUCCAGCGCAUAUAUUUAAAUAAAAAAAAGAUUUUUAUUUUUAUUUUUAUUUCUAAUUCACUAAUUAACAAAACCCAACAAAAUAAUAUAUUAAUUAAAGAUAAAUAUAACAAUAUUUAAUAUGUGUAAACAACACAUUAUGAAACAGAUAAAGUAUUUAAGUAAUAAUUAUGUUGAAACGUGAUAGCAAACUUAAGGUUUUUAGAUCAAUUUUUCAAAAUACUUCUAAAUUAAUCUGGCCGCUUAAGUUGGCUAACGUUAUCAAGUUCCAGUCCAAGUCUGUUCACCCGUGAUCUUGAUCUGAUCACCUAAACCAUAUCUAGCUCCAGACCCCAAACCGAUCACGUGUGUUUAUUAACAAAACAAUACUAAUAUAUAUCUGAAAUGAGAACCAAAAUAGUGAUAAAUAAUAUAAAAUCCAGCUAAGAUGUAGUUGUCAAGCCACCUUGUCUGAAUUUUUUUGACCACGACACCAUGUCUGAAUUUACAAGUUGCGUAUGCAUAUUUGAUUCUUUGAUGCGACUAUUCAGUAGCUACAAAAAAAAACAUUAUCAUUUUCAUAUAAUUGAAUUGCUUAAAUUUUACUUUAUUUUUUGCUACCCUACAUCUAACAGUGAAAGUGAAUGACAUCAAUAUUCCAUAUUCAAAUCUGAAUUAAUGAUAGUGACAAUUGCGUUCACGCUUACUUGUAAAGCAAGAAUCAAAUCAUAAGAAAACUAUUCACCUCUGUACAGAUUGGAACGGCAAGUGCUUUGGACACAGUUUGUGGCCAGUCAUAUGGAGGAAAAAUGUACGGAAUGUUAGGCAUACAGAUGCAAAGAGCAAUGUUUGUUCUUACACUCUACUCUAUUCCUCUCUCCAUCGUUUGGGCCAACACAGAGCAUUUCCUUGUCUUCUUCGGCCUAGACAAAUCCAUUGCAUACCUCUCUGGCUCCUAUGCAAAGUUCAUGAUCCCUAGCAUCUUCGCCUAUGGUCUUCUUCAAUGUAUCAACAGGUUUUUGCAGGCGCAGAACAAUGUGUUUCCUGUGGUUUUAUGUUCUGGAGUCACUACUUGUCUUCAUGUGAUCCUCUGUUGGGUCUUGGUGUUGAAAUCUGGUUUAGGGUUUAGAGGAGCUGCUGUGGCCAAUUCGAUCUCGUAUUGGCUUAAUGUCAUUCUCUUGGCAUGUUAUGUCAAGUUUUCGCCUUCUUGCUCACUGACCUGGACUGGUUUCUCUAAGGAGGCUCUACGCGAUAUCAUACCUUUUAUGAAACUAGCUAUUCCCUCUGCACUUAUGGUUUGGUAAGUCCAGAUAGGAGCUUUUGUCAAUCUUGGAUCAUAUUAUUUUGUGGGAGUCCCGUUAGGCUUGUUACUUGGUUUUCACUUUCACCUCGGUGGUCGGGUAAAUUCCAUAAACGAAUUAAAAUUCUCUCUUCUUUUUGAUCAAACAAUUUCAAGGGUUAACCAUAUAUCAUAAAAAUGUAAAUAUAAAAAGGGGC